UGUGUAGGUGGAAUGGUCAGUGUUUUGUGAAAUCCCUCGGCUUAACCGAGGAAUUGCUUGGCAUACUGCCAUUCUUGAGGUCGGUAGGGGUGCGUGGAACUCUUGGUGGAGCGGUGGAAUGCGUAGAUAUCAAGAGGAACGCCCGUGGAGAAGUCGGCGCACUGGGCCGAUCCUGACACUGAGACACGAAAGCGUGGGGAGCAAACAGGAUUAGAUACCCUGGUAGUCC
rnacentral:rRNA from 1 species